rnacentral:lncRNA from 1 species
AGGAACUGUUCAAGACAGAAUAGUUUAAAAGAGGAUGGACAAUUUUAUGGGCCGUAUUGAAGAAGUUUGAGAGGGCAGAGAAACGGAAAUAUUACGUUGCACCGGGUUAUGAAGAAGGAGGAAGGGGCCAAUUCCCGCCAAACCAUCCUGGAGUCCAGUUGCAGGUGACCACAUGUUUGGCUCUGGAACAGGUAGGUGGCAGGUAGCAGCAGUGGGAGUGGCAGAACUAUAGGGCUGCAGGCUCCACCCCAAAACUCUCUCAGUGCUAACAGUGAAACCUGAGCAACCAUGUUUCAGGCUGGGUGGGGCAGGUUACACCCUUCCCCUCCCCUUUGUCUAUAUGAGGUUGCUCCCCCAACUCUCCUGCCCCACUGCUCCAGCAUCCUCCUAUGCUAGGGCAUCAAACCUCCCUGAGACCAAGGGUCUCUCUUCUCAUUGCUGUCAGGCAAGGCCAUCUUCUGCUACAUAUGUAUCUGGAGUCAUGAAUCCCUCCAGGUACACUCCUUGGUUGGUGGUCUAGUCAAUGGGAG